rnacentral:rRNA from 1 species
AGCAGCCGCGGUAAUUCCAGCUCCAAUAGCGUAUAUUAAAGUUGUUGCAGUUAAAAAGCUCGUAGUUGAAUUUCGGGACCAAUAUGUCGGUCGUGCUUCGGUACGUACUUGCAUUAUUGGUUUCUCCCUUCUGACGAACCAUGAUGUCAUUAAUUUGAUGUCAUAGGAAAUCAGGACUGUUACUUUGAAAAAAUUAGAGUGUUUAAAGCAGGCUCGUGCUUGAAUACAUUAGCAUGGAAUAAUGAAAUAGGACGUUUGAUUCUAUUUUGUUGGUUUCUAGGAUCGACGUAAUGAUUAAUAGGGAUAGUUGGGGGCAUUAGUAUUCAAUUGUCAGAGGUGAAAUUCUUGGAUUUAUUGAAGACUAAUUACUGCGAAAGCAUUUGCCAAGGAUGUUUUCAUUAAUCAAGAACGAAAGUUAGGGGAUCGAAGACGAUCAGAUACCGUCGUAGU